CAGCCGCCGCGGGAAAACAGAGGGUGCGAGCGUUAAUCGGAUUUACUGGGCGUAAAGCGUGCGUAGGCGGCUUUUUAAGUCGGAUGUGAAAUCCCUGAGCUUAACUUAGGAAUUGCAUUCGAUACUGGGAAGCUAGAGUAUGGGAGAGGAUGGUAGAAUUCCAGGUGUAGCGGUGAAAUGCGUAGAGAUCUGUAGGAAUACCGAUGGCGAAGGCAGCCAUCUGGCCUAAUACUGACGCUGAGGUACGAAAGCAUGGGGAGCAAACAGGAUUAGAUACCCGGGUAGUCCCUGUCUCUUAUAA
rnacentral:rRNA from 1 species